GAUUGCGUAUUUUAUUGAGAAUUUUGAAUUGCAAGUUCAAGGGUGCUUAUAGCCGUAAUUU
rnacentral:tRNA from 1 species